rnacentral:lncRNA from 1 species
UAGAUGCAACUGUGAUAACCAUACAUCAAACUUCAUUCAAAACCUUAUUACAAAAAGUUGUAAUGUCUCUAACACAAUUUCAAAACCAAAAUUACAUAGGCAGACUCCCAAUCACAUUGUAUAUCCACUUGGUUCAAGAAUUCAAUAUUUUUUCCCCUUUAUGAGAUUUUCAACACAAACAGAAGGCGGAUCCUAAAAACGCAGAUGUAACAAUUACAACUUCAUGCUCAAGAAACAAACCUACAUCUAUUGAUGAACACAGUAUAACCAUGGCAGGCAGAAGAGAAUAUAUACAAAUUGACUGAACUUAGAAGCCAAUUACUAAAAAGAAUUUGAUAACUCAUUACAUCAACUUCAACACAUGCAUCUUCAUAUUUAAUUCACACUCCAAGGAUUUAAAAGAGUACCUGUAUACAGCAAAACAAAAGAAAACCAGAAGAAAUGUGUCUAAGAUCAGUUUAUGACAACCAAGAAAUAACGGAGCUCAGCAGCAAAGGAACAACAAUGGUAAUCAACCAAUAACCUCAAUAAUCAGCCAUGUUUCAGCUUUGGAAACCCGAAAAAAUCCCCAGAAAAGUCAACCCAAAACUUUUUGCCAAAGGAAAAUGAAGCUCAAAACUAGAUAGUUUUAUCAGAAAAAGAUUUUUAGUCGUUUCUCUUUUUGGUGAGUCUUAGUCUCUGCCCUAGAAAUGAGGAGAAUGAGCCACUUAUAGCAAGCUUUAGGGCAGCAAAAUUGAUUUUAAACUUUUACUAUUACCCCUUCCCCAAUUUUCUCUUUUUCAUUUCAGACCCUAACAUUUGAACCUAUUUAGUAAUUCAUCCAAUUCUCACCUUCCUAGAAGCUUCCUAGACAGUUAGCCAAGAUUCUUUCUAUUCAAUUCCUCUAAAUACCCUUAAAACCAAUGCCAUUUACUUUCAACCAAAGCUGGGAUUUGUACCCUCUAAACAACUGAACCCCAAACUUCCUUUGGGCCUCUGUGCUAAUGGGCCUGUCUGCAUGCAAGGCAGGUCCCAGACCAAACAAAACCCAAAACAUGCAAUUUCGAAAGAAGAAGAAAGAGAAAUAGUAAUCAAGACAAAUUACUUAAUUAAAAAAAGCUAAUUGAACCUAAUCAGGGGAUCUCAUGACUGGAAAUAAACUGAGAUGAGGGAACAAAAAUCAACUAACAAAUGCUUGUAAAAUUCCUUCGACAAAUCUGGCCGGCUUGCUUAAUCCGAAUCUUCUUUGAAAUGAACCAAAAAUAACGCUAGGAAAUUGUUCUCGGCGAGAACAAUCAACUAGCAUAGGUUUUGGUCGAAUCGAAGCUUGAAACUUCAAAGAAAUCGAACAGGGGAAAAACUAAGGUUUUCUCUUCUUUUUUAGAUCUGCAAUUGAAAUAAUUUGGUAGGGCUUUGGGAAAAAUUGGUGGUGGAUUAGUGAUGAGGGUGAGUUGAUGGGUGUAUCGUAUGAAUUUGGUCGGAUUUGGAGAAUGCCGCCGCCGUGAGGCGAUUCCCAGCGGUGGCGGGCGGUGGCGAUUUAGAGAGACAAAAUGGGGGGUUUCUGUGGGUUUGAAUUGG